UCGGGAGAAGGUACGCUCUUGAUGGUGAAGUCCCUUGCGGAUGGAGCUGACGAGAGUCGCAGAUACCAGGUGGCUGCAACUGUUUAUUAAAAACACAGCACUGUGCAAAAUCGUAAGAUGACGUAUACGGUGUGACGCCUGCCCGGUGCCGGAAGGUUAAUUGAUGGGGUUAGACUUCGGUCGAAGCUCUUGAUCGAAGCCCCGGUAAACGGCGGCCGUAACUAUAACGGUCCUAAGGUAGCGAAAUUCCUUGUCGGGUAAGUUCCGACCUGCACGAAUGGCGUAAUGAUGGCCACGCUGUCUCCACCCGAGACUCAGUGAAAUUGAAAUCGCUGUGAAGAUGCAGUGUACCCGCGGCUAGACGGAAAGACCCCGUGAACCUUUACUACAGCUUGGCACUGAACAUUGACCCUACAUGUGUAGGAUAGGUGGGAGGCUUUGAAGCACGUACGCCAGUAUGUGUGGAGCCGUCCUUGAAAUACCACCCUUGUAGUGUUGAUGUUCUAACGUCGACCCCUUAUCGGGGUUGCGGACAGUGCCUGGUGGGUAGUUUGACUGGGGCGGUCUCCUCCCAAAGAGUAACGGAGGAGCACGAAGGUGGGCUAAUCACGGUUGGACAUCGUGAGGUUAGUGCAAUGGCAUAAGCCCGCUUGACUGCGAGAAUGACAAUUCGAGCAGGUGCGAAAGCAGGUCAUAGUGAUCCGGUGGUUCUGAAUGGAAGGGCCAUCGCUCAACGGAUAAAAGGUACUCCGGGGAUAACAGGCUGAUACCGCCCAAGAGUUCAUAUCGACGGCGGUGUUUGGCACCUCGAUGUCGGCUCAUCACAUCCUGGGGCUGAAGUCGGUCCCAAGGGUAUGGCUGUUCGCCAUUUAAAGUGGUACGCGAGCUGGGUUUAGAACGUCGUGAGACAGUUCGGUCCCUAUCUGCCGUGGGCGUUGGAAGAUUGAAGGGGGCUGCUCCUAGUACGAGAGGACCGGAGUGGACGAACCUCUGGUGUUCGGGUUGUGUCGCCAGACGCAUUGCCCGGUAGCUAAGUUCGGAAUCGAUAACCGCUGAAAGCAUCUAAGCGGGAAGCGAGCCCUGAGAUGAGUCUUCCCUGAUACUUUAAGUAUCCUAAAGGGUUGUCGGAGACUACGACGUUGAUAGGUCAGGUGUGUAAGUGCUGUGAGGCAUUGAGCUAACUGAUACUAAUUGCCCGUGAGGCUUAACCAU
rnacentral:rRNA from 1 species